rnacentral:rRNA from 1 species
GACGAACGCUGGCGGCGUGCUUAACACAUGCAAGUCGAACGGAAAGGCCCUGCUUUUGUGGGGUGCUCGAGUGGCGAACGGGUGAGUAACACGUGAGUAACCUGCCCUUGACUUUGGGAUAACUUCAGGAAACUGGGGCUAAUACCGGAUAGGAGCUCCUGCUGCAUGGUGGGGGUUGGAAAGUUUCGGCGGUUGGGGAUGGACUCGCGGCUUAUCAGCUUGUUGGUGGGGUAGUGGCUUACCAAGGCUUUGACGGGUAGCCGGCCUGAGAGGGUGACCGGCCACAUUGGGACUGGGAUACGGCCCAGACGCCUACGGGAGGCAGCAGUGGGGAAUAUUGCACAAUGGGCGGAAGCCUGAUGCAGCAACGCCGCGUGCGGGAUGACGGCCUUCGGGUUGUAAACCGCUUUCGCUUGUGACGAAGCGUGAGUGACGGUAAUGGGUAAAGAAGCACCGGCUAACUACGUG